AAAAAGGGAUCUUCAGCUCUUAAUCUUUCUUGCCUUCCGCCUCCUUUGUUAUGGCUUUAUUCACCAAUACUCAGUUCACUAUGUUGCUUCUUUGGAUCAUAAAUACUUUGCCAUGGUUUCUCAGCUUCAGCUCCGAGUCCAGCUUGCAAGACUGCGAUCUCCAGUGAUGAUGUAUGAGAUAGAUUUUAGUACUAAACCGACGAGUCUAGUCCACUGAGAGUUGGUAUUCAAUCUUGAUCCGAGUGUUAGUUACGGUCGCUGAUUCAUUGAUCAUGUUGUGUUGGAUUUUGGAGAUAGGGUGCGGUCAUGGAGUCGGAGUCGUUCAUUUCCUUAUAUCUUAUUUAUGUCUAGUCUUUUAUUUUGGGUCGGAUUGUAUUGACUAUUUUAGACACUUGGAUUGUAUAGGUAGAAGCUCUUCUACUGGCUCUAUCAGGUCGUGGGAUGGAUUUCUGUAUUGUUGGUUAUCCUUGUCUACAUCUAUUGCCUUGCUUAUUUACAAGUUGCAUUUGUUGUUUUUUGCUCUUUUGGGUAUUUUUCAUCAAGUUAA